UUAUGAAUAAGGAUCGGCUAACUCCGUGCCAGCAGCCGCGGUAAUACGGAGGAUCCGAGCGUUAUCCGGAUUUAUUGGGUUUAAAGGGUGCGUAGGCGGCCUUUUAAGUCAGCGGUGAAAGUCUGUGGCUCAACCAUAGAAUUGCCGUUGAAACUGGGGGGCUUGAGUAUGUUUGAGGCAGGCGGAAUGCGUGGUGUAGCGGUGAAAUGCAUAGAUAUCACGCAGAACCCCGAUUGCGAAGGCAGCCUGCCAAGCCAUGACUGACGCUGAUGCACGAAAGCGUGGGGAUCAAACAGGAUUAGAUACCCUGGUAGUCCACGCAGUAAACGAUGAUCACUAGCUGUUUGCGAUACACUGUAAGCGGCACAGCGAAAGCGUUAAGUGAUCCACCUGGGGAGUACGCCGGCAACGGUGAAACUCAAAGGAAUUGACGGGGGCCCGCACAAGCGGAGGAACAUGUGGUUUAAUUCGAUGAUACGCGAGGAACCUUACCCGGGCUUAAAUUGCAGAUGAAUUACGGUGAAAGCCGUAAGCCGCAAGGCAUCUGUGAAGGUGCUGCAUGGUUGUCGUCAGCUCGUGCCGUGAGGUGUCGGCUUAAGUGCCAUAACGAGCGCAACCCUUGCCACUAGUUACUAACAGGUAAAGCUGAGGACUCUGGUGGGACUGCCAGCGUAAGCUGCGAGGAAGGCGGGGAUGACGUCAAAUCAGCACGGCCCUUACAUCCGGGGCGACACACGUGUUACAAUGGCGUGGACAAAGGGAAGCCACCUGGCGACAGGGAGCGAAUCCCCAAACCACGUCUCAGUUCGGAUCGGAGUCUGCAACCCGACUCCGUGAAGCUGGAUUCGCUAGUAAUCGCGCAUCAGCCAUGGCGCGGUGAAUACGUU
rnacentral:rRNA from 1 species